rnacentral:rRNA from 1 species
AUUGAACGCUGGCGGCAGGCCUAACACAUGCAAGUCGAACGGUAACAGGAAGAAGCUUGCUUCUUUGCUGACGCGUGGCGGACGGGUGAGUCAUGUCUGGGACACUGCCUGAUGGAGGGGGAUAACUACUGGAAACGGUAGCUAAUACCGCAUAACGUCGCAAGACCAAAGAGGGGGACCUUCGGGCCUCUUGCCAUCGGCUGUGCCCAGAUGGGAUUAGCUAGUAGGUGGGGUAACGGCUCACCUAGGCGACGAUCCCUAGCUGGUCUGAGAGGAUGACCAGCCACACUGGAACUGAGACACGGUCCAGACUCCUACGGGAGGCAGCAGUGGGGAAUAUUGCACAAUGGGCGCAAGCCUGAUGCAGCCAUGCCGCGUGUAUGAAGAAGGCCUUCGGGUUGUAAAGUACUUUCAUCGGGGAGGAAGAGAGGAAAGUGAAUACCUGUGCUCAUUGACGUUACCCGCAGAAGAAGCACCGGCUAACUCCGUG